rnacentral:rRNA from 1 species
AUUGAACGCUGGCGGCAUGCCUUACACAUGCAAGUCGAACGGUAACAGGUCUUCGGAUGCUGACGAGUGGCGAACGGGUGAGUAAUACAUCGGAACGUGCCCGAUCGUGGGGGAUAACGGAGCGAAAGCUUUGCUAAUACCGCAUACGAUCUACGGAUGAAAGCAGGGGACCGCAAGGCCUUGCGCGAACGGAGCGGCCGAUGGCAGAUUAGGUAGUUGGUGGGAUAAAAGCUUACCAAGCCGACGAUCUGUAGCUGGUCUGAGAGGACGACCAGCCACACUGCGACUGAGACACGGCCCAGACUCCUACGGGAGGCAGCAGUGGGGAAUUUUGGACAAUGGGCGCAAGCCUGAUCCAGCAAUGCCGCGUGCAGGAUGAAGGCCUUCGGGUUGUAAACUGCUUUUGUACGGAACGAAAAGGCUCUGGUUAAUACCUGGGGCUCAUGACGGUACCGUAAGAAUAAGCACCGGCUAACUACGUGCCAGCCGCCGCAGUAA